CACGUAGGGUCCAAGCGUUGUCCGGAUUUAUUGGGCGUAAAGAGCUCGUAGGCGGCUUGGUAAGUCGAGUGUGAAAACUCUGGGCUCAACUCAGAGACGCCACUCGAUACUGCCAUGGCUUGAGUCCGGUAGGGGAGUGUGGAAUUCCCGGUGUAGCGGUGAAAUGCGCAGAUAUCGGGAGGAACACCCGUAGCGAAGGCGGGUCUCUGGGCAUCUCCUGACGCUGAGGCGCGAAAGCGUGGGGAGCAAACGGG
rnacentral:rRNA from 1 species